rnacentral:tRNA from 1 species
GGUGCUGUGGUGCAGUGGGUUAACACUCUGGCCUGAAGUGCCAGCAUCCCAUAUAGGUGCCGGUUUGAGACCCGGCUGCUCCA